rnacentral:rRNA from 1 species
CUCCAGGUUGAUUCUGCCUGACGUAGACGCUAUUCCCUAAGAUUAACCCAUGCAUGUUUUUGACAUUUGAAAAAUGGACUGCUCAGUAAUACUCACUUUAUUUUAUGUAAAUUUUUGAUUAAUUAACUACGUUAAAGUGUAGAUAAGAUGUUUACAGUAAGAGUGAGACCUAUCAGCUAGUUGUUAAGGUAAUGGCUUAACAAGGCUGUGACGGGUAACGGUAUUACUUUGUAAUAUUCCGGAGAAGGAGCCUGAGAGACGGCUACUAAGUCUAAGGAUUGCAGCAGGGGCGAAACUUGACCUAUGGAUUUUAUCUGAGGCAGUUAUGGGAAGUAAUAUUAUAUUGUUUCAUAUUUUAAAAGUAUAUGAGGUGAUUAAUUGGAGGGCAAAUCAAGUGCCAGCAGCCGCGGUAAUACUUGUUCCAAGAGUGUGUAUAAUGAUUGAUGCAGUUAAAAAGUCCGUAGUUUAUUUUUUAAGAAGCAAUAUGAGGUGUACUGUAUAGUUGGGAGAAAGAUGAAAUGUGACGACCCUGACUGGACGAACAGAAGCGAAAGCU